GAAAAUGACAAAGAGUUGUUGUUCCAGCACACGGGACCAAGUCACCAGCUGCAGCGACUGUUUCCCUUGUGGCUAAAGCUUCAGUAAAAGCGAAGACUCUGCUGCCGGUCCCUCCUCAGCUGCUCGCCAUCGCCCCUCAGCUUGUGAGGGAAGAUCAGGAACCCAACGUGUUGAGGCCAACACAUGCAAAGCCAGC